CAUUUGUUCGACAAAAUUAUCAGAAGAAACAUGACCGCCACAAUGUCCUCCUCUGCCCUAAACCCACCGCCACCAUCUCGAUCGCCACCGACACUUCCUUCCAAAUCGCGCCACCAACACCACCACAACAACUGCAACAUCCAGUAUUAAUAUCUCCACCGCCACUAGACCAAGAACAAACAGAUCUAGAAAUAAGAUCGAUUAUAUUUCUCGAUUUGUAUUUUCGUGAUGAAAAUUGAAAUUCAAUCUCCGUAGUUCUAAAUUGGCGAUGGACAUCAAAGGGGAUUCAGGUGAUUUCUUUCUUUUCUGGUUUAAUUUUAUGUUGGUAAUGGUGGUAUUCUAACUAGUUGUUGUUAUUGUUGUUGGUGCGGGUGAGAGUGGGAUGAUGGAAUUGGUGAGGGAGACAGUGACGGUUCUGGUUGUUUAGGUGGUGGUGGAGAUUUGAUUAUGCUACAUUUUCCGGCUUCAGUAUUGCUGCUGGAGUGCCUCGCCGACUAUGUUGCUGAGCUAUCACUCUUUGACUAUGGAGAGCAAUGUUGCUUCAGUCUUUAGUAGUUGCUUCGGUUGUUUUCUUGGACAGAUUUAUACUGACACCUACAAAAAGACCUUUGCAGUGGGGUGGCAGCGGUGGUGAUUUAUGUGUUCGCAGCAAUGGUGUUGGUAGUGGUGGUAACAACAUCAAUGGAGAGAUUACGUUAAAAGAUUUUUCUAGUUGCGUUGUUGUUCCUGGUGAUAAAAGUUGCAGAUCAUAAAGGAAGAGGUUUACAAGCACAAUACCCCUUAUUGUUUCCGAGAUGGCGAGAAGCAUGAUGAAGUUUCCGAGACACGUACAUCAUGCCUCUCAUUGUUCGAAAACAAGUUGGGAGACCAAAUGUUGUUCGGGAUCGCAGUUACAGGGAACGAGUCCUCAAAAAGAGGAAGUUUGGUCACUAUGCCAUGCUUGCAUAUCACAAUUUAUGUAGCACUAUGUCCAAUGUUUAAUUUUCUGAACUUGUUAUUUUUGUUCUUAUAUUUUUGAAGGUGGCAUGUUAUGUUUCAUUUUUCAUUUGUUCAACGUUUAUGAACUUGUUAUAUUUGUUAUGGAUUGAACCUUUCUUUUUCUUUUUAGUUUUUGCUUGUGUUAAAUGGUCUGCUCCAGGCAGGUUUCUCUCCAGAUUUUGGAGACA